rnacentral:misc_RNA from 1 species
ACACGAAUGUGUAACCGUACCGUCUCUUAAUACAAUUGAUCAUGAACAAAACAACGUUAUCAAACAUUAUCUACUGCUGUGUUCAUCGUGCUUUAAAUUUCUUAUCAAUGUAUUAUUACACUAAACUAUACCUUUAAAAUCGGACUCGAAGUAGUGUUUUGUUUACACGUUUAUUUUCGGUUUAAUCAAUCAAAUUUACAGGACAUAAAACAGAUCUCGUACAUUGAGACCCAACUGAACCGAAUGGCGACUUGUGAAGCUUUGAUAGACGCUGUGGAUUUGACUUUGUGUUCCAUAUGUCUGGAGAAGUUGAAGUCCCCACGACUGUUGCCGUGUUCUCAUUCUUUUUGUCAGCACUGUCUGUGUGCACAUAUUGUGUCAACGUGUGAACAAAAAGAUGUUCCAUUGGGAUUCCCUUGUCCUCUCUGUCGAGAGUUCAUUCCGUCACCAGGAAACCCAGAAGAAACCAUUAAAUGGGCAGAAAAAUUCCCCAUCAACGACGCCAUGGUUCUAUUGAUGAAUGAGUCUCGUGACGUCAAAGUCUGUUGGCCAUGUAAAAGAGGAAACGAGGAAGAAGAAGCUAUCGAAUUUUGUUUAACUUGUAAGGAGCCCUUAUGCAAAAUGUGCUCGAAGUGUCAUAGAAAAAGCUUAAUUAGUAUGAAUCACAAAAUGUGCUUGCUCUCUGAAAUAGGAUCUUGCAGUUUUGACUCGGGGCAUACUAGAAAUACUGUAAGUUGUGAAAAACACAACGAAAAACAAAUUGAAUUGUAUUGUUAUAACCAUAAGACCCCGUGUUGUACUCUUUGUUUUACAGAGGAUCACAAAUCUUGUUUCAAUAUAUUAGCGGUGGAAAAAGUUGUCAAGAAUAUGCAGAGGUUAGGGCAAAUGAAAUCUUUAGAGAAAGAAAUUGAGAAAAGGAAAGUAGAUUUAGAGAUUGCAAAACAGUCGCAGAAAGACAAUCUUGGAGCGUUAGAGGAUGAUUCUGAUGUGUUUACCAAAGAAGCAGAACAGCUUCAUCAAAAGGUUUCGUCACACGUCAACAAAUUAUUUGAGGAACACUUUACAGAAAUAGCAAAGAACACAAAGGAAGCAAAACGAAAGUUGGAGAAAAACACAAUCGCGAUCUCUGACCGGCUUGAUUUCCUACAAUACUUGCUAAGGCUCUUAAAGUCUGCAAAUGGGACAUCAGACUCCGAAGAGACUAGACUAAAUUAUAUAUCGACAUUACAUAAAGUGAAAGAGAAUCUUGGAAAACUAUCAGAAUAUCCAUUGAAACCAGGUUAUUGGUCAGCCUACUUCAGCAUUUCAAGUGGACCCGAAUCCUUGGGAUAUCCUGUUGGAUGAUGGAAUUCUAUAUAUCUCACAUGACAACAAAGAUACUUUUCGUAUUCUGCGGUUUUCGGCAGAAAACUUCAAAGCUUUGGAUCCCCUUCCUAUGGAUACAGGUAAAAGUUGCAGUGGCCUGGCUAUCAUUGGAGAUGUACUAUUUGUUGUGUCUGAUGACCGUUUCAUUCUGAAAAUGAAUAAAAACGGACAAGGAAGCUCUGAAAUGAUUUAUGAAACAGAGACGAGAGAUUUACGAUUUCUAACUAGCGUGGCUGAUGGAAUGCUGGUGUGUAGUAAUUUUACUGAUCACUCCGUAAUAGCUCUGGAUGAUCUCGGCGAUGAAAUCUGGACUUACAAGCAUAAUGAACUAAAGGGAUCUUAUGGAUUAGAUAAGGAUCCCCAAAAUAACAUCUAUGUCGCUGGGAUGAAAAGCAACAACAUCCAUAUAUUGUCUGUGGAAGGGUCUUUGUUAAGGAUCCUUGGAGGUUUAACUAAUCCGACGUGCAUAAAAUUCAAGAAGGAUUCCUUUACUUGUUUUGUUGUAAGCCAGUCCCAAACAAUGACUAGAUUGGGUUCAGGUUGCUUUUCUCAAGUAGCACUUUAUGAGUUUCGAUAGCCUCAAAGAAUCCAUUAUUUUUAACUGCAUAUGUAUAUACAUUAAACGAUUUUUUUGUUAAGUAGUGCAAUAGAUGCAUUAUAUAAGCAAAUUCAAAUAUCAUUUUUACUAGAUAAGAAUAUUUUAACUAUUAUGACAAAUUAACAACUUUAAGGACAUGCCAUUUUAUUGUACAUGAUAUUUGUCCGCAUGGCUUUUCAUCUUGGUUGAUGUCUCACAACGCCGUUCCUAAUAGUUAAUAAGUUUUGUACUUUCUUCCAACCUCUUCCAACUACACUUUUGAUUGGAUGAGAUAGUGACACGGCACUAUAACUAUUGCACCAUAUUAUAACUAUGGCACUUAAUUAUAACUAUGGCACGUAAAAUUCAUAAAAAAUGAGCUUAACAAACGUUCACAGUUAAUACACAAGGUUAAUUGACUAUAAACUAUAGUUUACGAACCGUAAACUAUAGUUAACGAUUUGUUAGCUAUAGUUUUCAUCUGCAAAAACCUUAUUAUGUGGUUGUUAUCUAUAGUUUACGAAGAAUGCUAAUCUAAGUUUAUCCGUCUCUUAAUAAAUGUUAACAAUAUAGUUUUCUGAUUGAUAUUGAUUCACAUCUGUUCACUAUAAUUUUCAUUCCUUAACUAUAAUUAGGAGUUUUUAUUUAUAGUUUCACAAAUCGAGAAACUAUAUUUAUCUGAUAAACUAUGCUUUGUUAUCGCAGAUGAUUUAGUUCAGUCUGAAUUAGAUUUAACACUUCUGAAUCAUAGAUGAUCGCGUUAACUAUGAUUUACAGAUGUAAAACAUAGAAUAACGUCAUGAACGUUUUCUGUUCAUAAACUACAAAUUAUCGUGAAUUUUGCUUACUAAAGAUAUCACAUGAGCUAAUUUAACAUUUGUCCUAAUAACUGUAUUUAAUCAAUUAUGUUAUCAUUUGACAACUAGAGAAUUUCAUCCGGUUAUUGUAUACGUUUUACGUUUGUAUACGUUUAUUUGUUUAUCUAUGUUUGAUGUUGUUUAGACAUAAUAUAUGAUGCUUCAGAGAAUAAAGUUUGGGAGCUAAAUGAAA